AUUGAAUGCUUAUUAGUUGCUCUGAUUAAUUUGAGUAAGUUGUGUUUGACUCUUUGCCUUUACUUUAUUCAAGACUAGUCUAUGUUAAAUUCUCGGAGUAGUAAUCUCAGUACAUAGCAUGGUUAGUGCAUGAACUGAGCCAGGGAUGAUCUUGGAGUUGAGAUUGGGUAGGGAGUGAAGUGUAGUUUUGAAAUGCAUCAAAAUACCAAAGCAGGAAAAAUUGGACAUGGAAGUAGGGAUGAUCAAAACAUAAUAGAAAUUAGGAACUAAGUAAAGAUAAGACAGACACUGACACCAAGAGCUCAGAAAAAUUAAGAGGCUGAAAUCAGGCAUGAAAUCAGGAAGCAGGAGGAAACCCAAACCACAGGGCUAGACAGGACAGAUGGUCAAAGCCUGAGCAUACAACCAGGAGCUGAAGGGACCAGCUUGGCCGUCAGUUGCAAGGGUGUGAGGCAGAAGCAACACAAAAGAUCUUGAUAUGAAGCAAUUAUUUUUGGUCUUAAACUGCUGGGACUCCAGAUGACCCAGACCACGGUCAGCAGGCAGAAGCCAGGUAUUUUAUUCUUUUAGAUGCUAUUGUCAACAGAAUUGCCUUCAAGAUUCCUUUUCUGAUUGUUCAUUGCUGGUAUGUAGUAAUACAACUGAUUUUUAAGUGUUGCUCUUAUACCUUGUAACUUCUCUGAAUUUGUUUAUUUGCUCUAGUAGCUUUCUUGUGGAUUCUUUGAGAUUGCUUAUAUAUAGUAUCAUGCCAUUUAUGAAUACUGAAGUUUAUGUCUUCUUUUCCAAUUUGAAUGCGUUUUACUUCCUUUUUUCCCAUUUCCUCUGGCAAAAGUUUAUUUUUGAUAACUACAUUUAUCCCUAGCUUAGUGGGGCUAUAAAACUUCCUUAAUGUAAACAAUUUAAAGCUAGUGUAUAGGAAAAUUAUGAUGGCAAUGUUGGACAGUUUCAGGGUGUAGUCUCAUUGCCACUUAAAGUGAACAUCUUUGGACUAGAUAAGUGAAUAAACCUUUAUCUGGGUUGAAAGGAAACAAAGGUGACAGUGAGACUAGCUGUCACUCCGAAUGCUGAAGUGUCUAGGACAGAGUGACAGCACAAUGUUCCUGCUGAGAGGCCUGUCCUUCAAAAUGAACAUCUUUUUACACACAUUGCAAGUUUGUUAAUUUUUAAAAUACACUUUUAUAAUUUGUUUCAGUGAGUGUUUUCUAUUAACUUUAUUUACUAAAUUGAUUGCCAUUUUUGGUGAUAAAUGGGUGAUUUAAUUUCUUUAUGUUAACUACAGAUGUGUGCUUCCCCCUCCCGCCAAUUUACCAGUAAGUCACUUGGUGUGUCUGUAAAACUGCUCAGGCUGCUUAGUGAAACUCACCGGACACCUAGUUUCCAUUACCAUCUCAUGGGAGUAACACUGUUACAAUAGUUCAUAUUUAAAAUUAGGUUUAGAAAAUAUUCAAAGAAAAAUGAGCUCAAAAGCUUAAAUUUUUUUAUUUUUUAUUUUUAGAGACAGAGUCUCACUCUGUUGUCCAGGCUUGUAUACAGUGGUGUGAUCAUAGCUCACUGCAGCCUUGAACUCCUGGGCCCAAGCGAUCCUCCUGCCUCAGCCCCCUGAGUUGCUGGGACUAUAGGUGCAUGCCAACACACCUGGCUAAUUUUAAAACUGCUCAAGCUGCUUAGUGAAAUUCACCAAACACCUAGUUUCUACUACUAUCUCACGGGAGUAAUACUCUUGCAACAUGUUCAUAUUUAAAAGUAGACUUAGAAAAUACUCAAAGAAAACUUAGCUCAAAAGUUCAAAUUUUUUUAUUUUUUAUUUUUAGAGACACAUUCUCACUCUGUUGCCUAGGCUGGUUUACAGUGGUGUGAUCAUAGCUCACUGCAGCCUUGAACUCCUGGGCCCAAGCGAUCCUCCUGCCUUGGUCUCCUGAGUUGCUGGGACUAUAGGUGCAUGCCAACACACCCGGCUAAUUUUUUUAAUUUUUUGUAGAGAUGGGGUCUUGCUAUAUUGUCCAGUCUGGUCUUGAACUCAAAACUCCUGACCUCAAGCAAUCCUCUCAUCUUGGUCUCCUAAAGCACUGGGAUUAUGGGUGUGAGCCACUUUGCCUGACCUGAGCUCAAAACUUUAGCACAGAUUUUUUUAAGUGAAAGGGAAUACCAUUUGUGAGGGUCAUGGAUGAUUAUUUCUGUCGUAUUUUGGUGGAUUGUGUUAUAAAACUUCAGUGUCAAAACCUGUCCACUCGAAAGUAUGAAGAAUCAUACUGUCUGAAAUUAGGAUAAUUACAAUGCAGCUGUCAAAUGAUGUUAAUGGAUAAACAUAAUAAUUUAUCUAUCAAAAGAUAUUUUCCCUGUAUUUCGUGUGUGGAGGCAUUGGUUCUCAUGCUUCCAUGAGUGAAAUGAUUUCUAAACACUGUUUCUAAGAUGUCAGACAAUAUCCUAAAAUCCGAGAAACAGUCAUCAUGAGUUAAGUGCCUGAAAGGAAUUGAUGCUCUCCAAUGUGGUAACUCACCCCUUAAGAUGGUGGAAAGAGAAUUUUUAAACGUUACUUAUCAUUUUUCUUACUUAUUGACAUUCACCCAACAUGUCUAGGACACAUACUACGUACUAAACAUUGCACUGGGUCCUAGACUUACUAAGUUGAUUAGUAUAUGGCUCCUACCUCUAGAGCUUUUCAGAGGGUGGCAACUGUUGGUUUCUGUCUCUUAGAUGAAAUGACAUGUUUAUAAAAAUGCUUAUCACAAGUAGGUGCCCACCGAUAGUUGAGUGCUAUUCUCUUCACCUCCUUUCCUUAUGCUUUCCUCCUUUUGUCAUUUACAUCUUCUUUUAGACUUCCUGCUUCUUUCUCCUGACCCCCAAAUUUGUGAAAUGAAAGGACAUUGGUAUAAAGAACAAUAAGGAGGUGUCAAAAUUAAUAAUCACUGUAGUAUUUUAAAUUUUUUCCACCUUUUUUUUUUUUUUUUUUUUUUUUUUUUUAGAGACAUGGUCUUGCUCUGUCACCUAGGCCGUAAUACAGUGGCGUGAUCCUAGCUCACAGCAGCCUCCAACUCCUGGGCUCAAGAGAUCCUCCUGCCUCAGCCUUCUGACUAGCUGGGACUACAGGAAUGUGCUACCACACCCAGCUAAUUUUUUAAUUUUUUGCAGAGAUGACAUCUCACUAUAUUGCCCAGGCUGGUCUUGAACUUCUAGCCUCAAGCAAUCCUCCCACCUCAGCCUCUGAACGUACUGGAAUUACAGAUGGAGCAACUGAGAUUCUUCCCCAACUAGACUAUAAGUUCUCUGAGGGAUAAGGAACAUGUCUGGUUUCCUCAUCUCUCUGUCACAGCACCCUGUGAAUGCCUAGAAGACAGUAAGAAUCAACUGAAUGUUUGUAGAAAGAAUAACGAUACUUACCUAUAGUCUAAAGGUUUAGUGAUGAAAUGAAGUCCACUAACUUCUCUCUGCUUACUUCCACCCUCAAUAACAUAUUUCCUCAAACCCCACAGAGGAAAGACAAUUCAUUUUUUACUAUUGUUUAAUAGAGCCAUGUUUGUAUGUAGCUUCCUGUUCCGCUUAGCCCAAGACAUUAAGUGGGUCAGGAGUAAACUCUGCCCUCUGUUUUUUUCCAUUCCUUUGUCACCUGCUCAAGUGGCAGCCCAGAGCCGCUUGGCGGCUUCCCUGAAGAUGAGCAGAGUGCAGUAGAUUAGGCAUGGCCUUUCUAUCUAUUUCUACUAUGGAGAAGCUGAAAAAGCUAUAUGGCUGGAAAAAAAUCACCUUGGUACUAAUUUGCUAUUUUACAAUAUUUGAAAAUAAAGACCUGUGGUCUUCCUAUGUAUUUCUUUUUAAACAAUGAGGGGUAUGGAACAUCUAUGAAUAAACAUCAAGGUCUUCAAGUGAAUUUUCAGGUUGUGAAGUAUGUGAUUUGUUACUACUAGGGAGAGAUGUUUCCUAACCAUAAAAAUGAAUGUGACUUUUUUUUUUUAAAGGAUGCAACUAAAUUAUAAAAGACAAUCAUUUCACUGGUGGGAAUAGAAUUCACUUAUUCUGAGUCAUGCCUAUUGCAUUACAUUUUGUUUAGCAUAAUUAAUGGUGAAUCUGAGUUGUCCCACAGAAGUAAACCCUAAUUCUCCUCUCCCUACUUCUACCUCUCUCAUUUUAAAGUCUUCAAUUAGUUUUUCCCAAAUGUUUCCAGUCUUAAGAUUUACGGAAUUUGAAGCCUUUCCCAAAGAUCCAAUCUUCCAGAUAAAAGGAAAAUAUAAUAUAGCAUUCCAAUAAAAAUAAGAUAUUCUGGGGUUUCCAUUUUUAAUUAUACCAAUUUUUAAUGUUCAUUAAAUAUAUUUCCCUCUGCCAA
rnacentral:lncRNA from 1 species